rnacentral:rRNA from 1 species
GAUGAACGCUAGCUACAGGCUUAACACAUGCAAGUCGCGGGGCAGCAUGGGGGUUGCUUGCAAUCCCCGAUGGCGACCGGCGCACGGGUGAGUAACGCGUAUCCAACCUGCCCUUCACCACGGGAUAACCCGGCGAAAGUCGGACUAAUACCGUAUGUUGUCCAUUGACGGCAUCCGAUUUGGACGAAAGGUUUGGCGGUGAAGGAUGGGGAUGCGUCCGAUUAGCUGGACGGCGGGGUGACGGCCCACCGUGGCGCCGAUCGGUAGGGGUUCUGAGAGGAAGGUCCCCCACACUGGAACUGAGACACGGUCCAGACUCCUACGGGAGGCAGCAGUGAGGAAUAUUGGUCAAUGGGCGUAAGCCUGAACCAGCCAAGUAGCGUGCAGGAUGACGGCCCUAUGGGUUGUAAACUGCUUUUAUGCGGGGAUAAAGUGGCCCACGUGUGGGUUUUUGCAGGUACCGCAUGAAUAAGGACCGGCUAAUUCCGUG